rnacentral:rRNA from 1 species
GACGAACGCUGGCGGCGUGCUUAACACAUGCAAGUCGAACGAAGUGGCGAACGGGUGAGUAAUACGUGGGUAACCUGCCCUCCUUUUUGGGAUAAGCCUUGGAAACGGGGUCUAAUACCGAAUAAAGGGGGAUGGGCUCGCGGCCUAUCAGCUUGUUGGUGGGGUGAUGGCCUACCAAGGCGGUGACGGGUAGCCGGCCUGAGAGGGUGAGCGGCCACAGUGUGGCUGAGAGACCGCCAAUACUCCUACGGGAGGCAGCGGGGGGGGUUGCUGAAUUGUGGGCGAAAGCCUGCUGCGGCGCCGCGGGGUGGGGGAUGACGUCUUGCGUGUUGUAAACCUAUGGCGCUAUCGAAGGAGUAGGUGGAGAAGCAGCGGCUGCUAACGUCGUGCCAGCCGCGGUAAUUC